AUUUAAUUCCAACUGGAAAUAAAGAAAGUUUUCCACCAUCUCUCCAGGCACCCCGGAAGCGCAAAGAAGUUGAGAAUGGCACAGUGGAUGCCGAAUCCCUGAGCAAGUCUAAAGAAUGUAAUGGCGCCCCCCUGCUGUCCGAGUGUGCUCUGCAGGAGGUGAGGGACGACCUACAGCUCCACCUCUGCCUAUCGGCGCUCUUCACGCUACCCGUCAUGCUCCUCGCACCCUCGCUCAUCCACUGGAUCCGCAACCUGAGGUAUUCCACCCAGUUGGAUCCUGACCCCUGUUGGCCACACGCUGUGCCUCUAAUCAUUGUGUACAUGCUGCUUAUUAACUGCAACACUUUAAAACUCAGCAACAGUAAACUCCUGCCUCUGACAUCCUGCCUCCCUCUCCCCUUGUCCAUCGCCAUGGUGACCUUCUCUCCACUCCACCUCUACAGAGUCACCUACUUCCUGUUGGCGGCGCUCGUCCCUCUGGCCUUGUGUUGCGUGCUCUGACGGUAUCUGUCUGGUUUCAGUCCACGUCUCUACCAUAACAAGCCUUUCUCAAAAUUACAGCCGGACUCACUGAAGCUGCCUGAGACUGUUCCAGGAAGACCUUCUCUAUCUAGCUGCCAUGGAGCAGAGCCAUAGACAUACAUAGCUUGGGGAACUGUCUGCUCAAUGUUAGCGCUAAGAGCUCCAUGGCAAUUACACUAUGUUUUAAGAUGAGAGGAUGUAAUGGCCUUGGAACAUUUGGUGCAAAUAUGGCUCCAAUGGACUGACCUGAAACCAAGUUUGCCUUACUCUGUAUAUCUAUAGCUCUGCCUUCAAGGAGCAACAACUCCACAACCAGUGAAGCUACUGAUACUAGAGAUUCUCAACAGGGUGUUACUCUUACAAUGUGUGUUCUUUUUGGGUUUUUUGUUGUUUCUAGUGUCUACAGUGGCAUUGUUCACUGCGGUCACUACUCUGUAAACUCCUUCACUGCCUGCUGCUUAGCGAUGA
rnacentral:lncRNA from 1 species